UACGAAGGGGGCUAGCGUUGCUCGGAAUUACUGGGCGUAAAGGGCGCGUAGGCGGGUGUUUAAGUCAGAGGUCAAAUCCCAGAGCUCAACUCUGGAACUGCCUUUGAUACUGGACACCUAGAGUACGGGAGAGGUGUGUGGAACUCCGAGUGUAGAGGUGAAAUUCGUAGAUAUUCGGAAGAACACCAGUGGCGAAGGCUACACACUGGCCCGUUACUGACGCUGAGGCGCGAAAGCGUGGGGAGCAAACAGG
rnacentral:rRNA from 1 species